GGGCGAGUGGUGGAAUUGGCAGACACGACGGACUUAAAAUCCGUUGGCCGCAAGGUCUUGAGGGUUCAAGUCCCUCCUCGCCUACCA
rnacentral:tRNA from 1 species